rnacentral:ncRNA from 2 species
GUCUUCUUGUCGGAGUGCUAGUACGUUUCACCUAGGUGAUUUGUAUAGCUGAGACCGUUAAUUCGGGAUCCGUUGAACCUGAUCGGGCUAGUACCCGCGAAGGAAACAAGCGUGGCAUUUAA